AUGGAUAGCUUAUUUGCUUUGUUAUAUAUACUUUGUAGUUUCAACGAUGAGGCAUAUAUGUCAACUAUGGGUGUUGGCUCCAAGAAUUCUCAUUGGUAUCAAACCAAUGACAUGCAUUUCGAUGAUCAUGAGUUUGAGGUGUAAGAGGAUGGUGAGGGCAUAGUCGACGCACCGAAAGGAAGAGGAGGCAACUACACCAAUGAUGAAUACAUCUUGCUAUGCAAUACUUGGUUGCAAGUGUCGAAGGAUCCCUCUGUUGGAGGUGAUCAAAGUAAAGAUGCAUAUUGGAACCGGAUAAAGGAGCACUUUGAUCUACACAACAAAAGUGGAAUUGACCGCUCGGAGAGAUCUUUUCGCUACCGGUGGCCGAAAAUCAACCGAAAUUGUCAAAGGUGGGCGGCCGCACUUAAGGCGGUUGACAAGUUGAACCCAAGUGGCACUAAUGAUAUAGAUAGGGUAAGUGCCAUUUCUUCCAUGUUCAUCAUGCUUCUUCUUGGUAUUUGUAGUGCUAACUUGUUUUUUUAUGUAGCUCAAUAUUGCACAAAACUUGUUCGACGGAGAGGAGAAGAAGAGCAAGAAAGGGAGACCAUUUACCUUGCAUCAUUGCUAUGA
rnacentral:rRNA from 1 species